rnacentral:lncRNA from 1 species
UUUUUGACUGGUUCAGGGUAAAACUUUUUCUCACUGUGUUAGAGUGCAUUUCUGUUAUUAUAUAGUUUCUUAGAAGAAAAUGCGCUUUUUGGAAUCUCAGGCUGAAGGAUUUUCUGACAUGGAAGAGUUCAGGGAUCUUCAAGCUUGCCUUGAUGAAGUGAAGACGAAACUCCAAUCUGAUGAAGUGAAGACGAAACUCCAAUCUUGAAGAUAACAUCAAGUGUUGUUUUCAACCUCUGUUCUUUUAUGUAUAGCUUACAUGCCGUGAUUUCAUUAACCUCAAUUUAAGGACAAUUUCAUAUCUUUUUUCUUUCUGCUUUUCUUUUAUCAUUUAAGAACAAAUUUCAGAAAGCAUUUAAACAAAGCAACCGAACGUCGCUGGUUUCUAUUAUUACAUUGACAGCAAUAAAACAAAGAAGCAACUGAAAGUUAUCUUCAUAUGAGAAUGAAAGCUUUUUAGCAGCAUAAGCCUUUCACUAUUUAAUUCCAAACAUGUUCCUCAACAUGAUAACAAAUUCGUAGACCUUUUCUGGGUCUGGAAGGAUCCUGGCAACAGUUUCCCUUUGCAUGCACUUGUUCAUCCAAGCGGAGAAUUUGGGGCACUCAUUCGCAUCCUUAAAUCACCCAAAUUUCUCAACCGCGUAAAACCAACAAAUUUCUCAACCCCCAAAUUUGGGACAUCAACGAAUCCAAAGCUAUCCCCGCCAAAGAAAUCCUUCUCCCCCAAAUCUCCCUCAAGUUGCUUCAAUAUCUCUAUAAAUUCAUUCUUUGCCGUCUCCUGUGUUUUAAAAAAUCUAUUGUAAUGGAUAUAUUGUGAAUUUAUCUAAUUGCUUGUUAUAAUGCUUCUAUUGCGGUGUUAUUCGAGUUGUCAUUUUCAGUUUUAUUUUAUUUGUUCUUUAAACAUUGUUAAUUUGAAAUGUUCUUUAAUAUCCAUUACACUUGAGAUCAUCAAAUAAGUGAUUCUCGAACAUAAUUGCUGUUGUUACUCGAAUAAGAAAAGAAAACAAAGAAUAGCUAAGGUAAAAGUAAAUGGAAAUGAAAGCAACGUGAUUUUGCAAAGAGAACUUCACACUAUCAUAAAACCGAAAACAUUACAAUUUAAAGCUUUAAUAACAACACAUCAAUGCCAAAUAACGACCCACUAGAAUCAUGGUCCAAAGAUUGUGCCAUGAUCACAACAUGAACUACAAAAAAAUAACCAACACCAGAAAAGUAGGAACAGUUUCAAACUUUCAACUAAACAGCAUUUAUGAUUCCAUAUCAGCAGUCCUAAACACAUCUUCUAACAAUUGCAACUGUUCAUUUUUGCUUCUGUCAAUAAAGAGUUGAUUGUAACCAAAGAUUGUUGUCUUUAUUGUCAUUUGAGAGUAACAAAUUACUUACGCAGUCACGUAAGUUGUUGGUUGGCCUCGCACAUUUUUGACAAGUUUGUUUCUGAAGGAAACCAGCUGAGCCGCAACCUCUUCCAUGCUCAUUCGUUCUCUCGGCAACUCUGAAGAGCAAAUGGCUCCGAUUCCCAGUACGGAAACCAAGCACUCUUUACCACUAAAACUUCUGGUCCAUUGUUUGUGAGCAUUGGCGUUGCUCGUCUCCCCUUCUUCUCUUUCUACAAGAAGCACUGGAUCAACAAUUUCAGCGAGUCUUCCAGGAAGAGCUUCCUUGACAAAAUUAUGUAGGGUUAGAUUGCCUGUAAACAUCUCAUUCGUCGGCCUCUUUCCUGUAAACAUUUCCAGCAAGAGUAUUCCAAAACUGUACACAUCUCCACUUGUUGAGACUUCGCUCCCCAUUCCGUACUCUGCAAUGCGAAAACUAAAAUUGUUGGUUCAACUAGUAAAAUCUCAAAGGAUUGAAAGACAAGUUAAUUAAAUAAUAGUAUUUACCUGGAGCAGCAUAACCAACGGUUCCUUUUACUCCAACAGAGCUUGAUUGAUUAGAUGACAAGUUAUUGGUGGCUUCCGGAAGGAAUUUUGCUAAUCCAAAAUCACCUACAUGGGCAGUCAAUUCACCAUCCAGAAGAACAUUGCUUGGCUUGAGAUCACAAUGGACUAUUGGAGUUUCGCAAUAAUGAUGAAGAUAAUCCAAUGCGGAAGCAACAUCAACGGCAAUAUUCAGUCUUUGCAGGAGAUUUAGAUUCUUAAGUGCCUCACGGUUUGGAUGCAACCAUUCCUCCAGGCUCCCGUUAACCAUGAACUCAUAAACUAAAGCCUCGAAAUCAUUUCCUUGGAAGUCAACACUUGCACAGGAAGUUAUUAUUUUGACGAGAUUCCGAUGCCUAAUACUUCUCAAGGCCUGACACUCCGCCAUGAAACUCUUUGAAGCUCCUCGAUUUUGAAGAUUAAGCACCUUAACUGCCACCAGCGUUUCAUGAUCAUCAUGAUUGAGGAUUCCUUUAUAGACCGAACCAAAGCUACCGGCACCAAUCAAGUUUUCCAAAGAGAACCCGUCAGUUGCUUUGAACAGAUUCUCAUAGGACACUCGUAAAACCGAAGCCAAGAGAGCUGAUGGAGGAGUGGCCGGCUUCCUUUUUGAUUUGCUCCGCCAGGAAGUAAUUAUCAAACACGACAUCCCUGUUACUAACAAAAUUCCUGUAACAACAGGAAUAAUCAGUUUCAGGGAACGGGAACGUGAUUGCUUUGAUUCUUUGAUGGAACAAGUAGAUAAAUGCAACUCAGAUAUGCCACCACAGAGGUUAUCAUUUCCGUCAAGAGAUAUAGCACUCGAAUUGCUGAAGACUCCUUUUAUUGGUACUUCACCCUCAAAAUGAUUAAAAGACAGAUUUAAGUUCUGUAAAAUGAGAAAGUUUUCAAAAUAUUUUGGAAUCCGGCCAGACAAAUUGUUCCGCGAAAGAUCAAGGUUCUGAAUGCCUCUCAAAGAACUGAAUGAUGAAGGGAUAUUCCCCUGAAAGAAAUUACCAUUCAUGACGAGUUCUUCCAACCUAAUGCAGCUUCCUAGACUAUUUGGAAUUUCACCAGACAAUUUGUUCUCCGAUAUAUCUAUAACACCCAGAUUUUUCAAGAUACCAAAAUUUGAGGGCAAAGGACCAUUCAAUUGGUUUUGAGAUAGAUCAAGGUAGAUUGACAAGGAAGAGAGACCAAUCACUUCAGUGGGUAUGGUACCACUGAGGUUGUUAUUAGAGAGCUUUAAUGAUAUUAAUUUUUGGCAUUUCCCUAGACUCGAUGGAAUGCUUCCCUCUAACAUGUUUUCCUCAAAAUUUAGUGUGAUUAACAAUGUCAGAUUUCCUAUAGAAGAUGGAAUUUCCCCCAAAAACUUGUUCCCCUGGAGCCUCAACGACUGCAGCUUAUGAAGAUCUCCCAUACUUCCCAGAAUUUGGCCUGUGAAUUGGUUGUCCCCAAGAUCUAAAAGCUCCAAGUUAACAAGAUUUCUUAAUCCACUUGGGAUAUUUCCGAACAACUGAUUGUUUCCAACUACUAAUUUUCUAAGUCGGGUUGACAAGUUCCCUGCUGCUUCAGGUAACGUUCCACCAAAAUUGUUAGCACCAAUAUGCAGUACCUCUAGUCUGGAAGCGUUGACCAAAGAAUUGACAAAUUCCAAGUCAUCUUUUUCCCCAUUUCCUAAGUGAUUCGUAGAAAUACUAACCCAUUGGAGUUUAUGUAAAUUUUCCAAACUAGGCACCUUUCCACUGAAUCCAUUCAGUGGGAUUGCAAGUCUUAUUAGAUUUGAGGCAUUGGAUAUUGAAGCAGGAAUAGGCCCAGUAAACUGAUUAUCAGCAACGUUUAAAUCUUCAAGAUUAGGAAGAGUGAAGCCUAAGUCUGAUGGAAGGCUUCCUUGAAGUUGGUUGGCAGGGAAAGAAAAAUAAUUAAGCGAAGACAAGUUGUAGAUUGAGAAAGGGAUUUCACCUGAUAGCUUAUUUAUUCCCAAUAAUAUUUGACGCAUCCUCUUAAGCUCGCCCAGGGUUUCAGGAAUUUGUCCCAAAAAUUGAUUUGCAGCUGCUGAGAGGAACUCGAGUGAUGACAAAUUGCCAAAGGAAGAUGGGAUUUCCCCUGACAAAUGGUUUAAGUGUACUGUGAGAAUCCGGAGCUUUGGUAAGGAGCCCAGUUUCCCUGGAACUUUCCCCACAAGCUCAUUGGAGCCUAACCCGAGGGAUUCAAGGUUAACGCAAUGCGAUAUGUUGUCGGGAAUUUGACCUCCGAAUGUAUUGUUAUGCAGGGCUAAUAUUUGUAACCUGAACAGAUAUCCAAUCUCUUGAGGGAUUUCGUCGCGGAAGCUGUUGUUUUUGAGAUCUAACACUCUGAGAAAACUUAAAUUACCAAUGUGAGGCGACAAAGACCCCUGCAAGAGUGAAGAUGGAAGAAGUAAUGCAGUCACCCUUUGGUGCCGUGGACUGCAAGUGACACCUUUCCAUUGACAGAAGUGCCUGGAAUAGUUCCAUGAACUCAAAACCUCAAGAGGGUCAUGAGUAACUUUGGCCUUGAAUUCAAGCAAUGCAAGUUGAUCAGUUUCAUUGCUUUUGAGCAUAUAAUCGGUUGACUGCAAGCUGAAGCUGAAGCAACAGAAAAUAAAGAAACAAAUGCUUACAAUGAUUGAACUCAUCAUGUUUACAAAAUCCAUUUAACUGCCGAAGGAAAUUAAAAUGAUAAAACUUUUAUAGAGGUUGGUAAGAUAAACUAUGUUUGUAUAUUUUUUGCUAUGAUUUAUGGACUCUAUCCUUGAGGCUCAAAUGUGAACCAGCUGGCACCGUGACAGUGAAACUAAUACUUUUUGUUUUUCUAACAAUAUUAAUUAUCUUUUGACUCACCAUACUCUCUUUUGAGUCUCGGUCAUUUCCAGCAUUUGGUCAUUUUUUAUUUCACCGCUUAAUCCGCAGUAAAUAUAGAAAAAUUUAAUCAACAAUAUUGAAAAAGAAAAAAAGUAGGACAAGCGAAAGGUAAAUACGAUGGAUGGAGUGUUAGACUACUGUUAAAUGAGUUGGGAAACGUUCAAAGCACGACGGGAAUUAAAGAUUCACAACACCUUUUUUUCUAAAAUUUUCAGUACAGUCUCCCCCAAAAUUUGCUAGUGCAACAAAGAGACGUCGCGCCGUUAACAAUUUUAAACUGUAAAUGACAUGUCGUUUUCAAAAAUUCAUUUAACUGCCGGAGGAAAUUGAAAUUAUAAACUUUUAUAAAGGUUGGUAAGAAAAAAUAUAUUUGUAUAUAUUUGUAUUCAAUGAUUUAUGGACGCUGUACUUGAUGCUGAAAUUUGAACCGGCUGGCGCCGGGACAGUGAAACUAAUGAUUUUUAUUUUUCUAAUAAUAUAAAGGGAAAUUAUUAUUGUACCACCUUUUUUUUUUUUUAUGUUCAUCCAACCACCACAAAAUUCUAACGUGUUAUCUGCACUAUUUUUUUUUUAAAUUUGUAUCAAUUAGUCACUUUUGCACUAACACCGUUAAAUAAUUUAAAUGAAAUGAUAAUUUUAUCCUUAAAUAAAUUAAAAGAUCAUUUUAUCUUGUAAAAGUUUAAAAAAAAAAAAAAUUUAUCAAAAUACCCUACAUUUAAUAAAUAAAUAAAUCCUCUGAGAUUGUCAACUCAUUUAACAGUAGCCUCCCACACAGGAAUCAACAUUUCACAAAGCUUUUUCCCUUUCUGAAAUAUUCGGUGCAGUCUCCCCCAGAUUUUGCUAGUGCAACCAAGAGACGUCAUGCCGUUAUCGAUUAUAAACUGUAAAUGACAUGUUGUUUUUACAAGACAUAUUAUGCGUCGAUACAUACCUUUCUGGUUGUUGGUUUAUAAAAAUAUAUGAAACGGCACGUGUGUGAGUGUGACAACUCUUGUCAUUUGUGCAUACACGGCCUGUCGUUUUCAAAGUAAAAUUUUUAUCAUGGUAUUCUAAUCUCCCAGCUGCCGUUUGCCGUUUGGAAUUGUUCUGUAUAAGAUCUUGAUCAUCGAAUUUACUGCCGUUUGCGGUUUCUCAAGCUUGAAACGGCGGCAAUCCCGUCGGUUUUCAGCGACAAUGACAGACUGACAGUUUGGGGUAUGAUGGCCGGUCUUCAAGCUUCAGAUUGGUACCAAGCUUGACCGGUGGGGUGGCCGGAAUCACAGCUUCUUUUACUCUCUCACACGUGUGGGUAUAUGUUCCCUGUUUCUAGCUUAUUCUUUUUUUUUUUUUGAACUUUUUAACCGCCUCAUUUUUAUUUAUUUUUUCACAUAUGUUACAUAUGACAACUAAUAGUAGUAAUUAUUUUUAAUAAAGUAAUUAUUAUUAAUAAGGGUCAUUCUAUAAUGCCGUAACUAAAUUUACGGCAUUGAUGCCGUAAUGGACGUGGACCGUUAGAUUUGAAUAAAAAAUCUCUACCAUUAAUUCUAAAUAAAUAGGUAACAUAUUACCUAAGUAGUAGGCAAUUACUCUUUUUUAUUCAAGUUUCAGGUUACAUUUACUAUUUUAUGUGUGAUUUACAAGUUUUAUGCAACAUUUACAAGUUUUUGUUUUGUUUGCAAGUUCUUCUUAUAAUUUACAACUCUAACAUUAAUUUACAUAUUUUUCCAUUAAUUUACUAGUUUUAUGUGUGACUUACAUAUUUUUUUGUUUCAUUUCACACUUAAUGUCAAUUUACAAGUUCUAUGUAAUUUUUCUAAGUUUUUGUUUUGUUUACAAGUUCUUCUUUCAAUUUACAACUCCAAUAUUAAUUUACUCAUUUUUCAAUCAAUUUACUAGUUUUAUGUGUGAUUUACAUAUUUUUUAUUUCAUUUCACACUUAAUGUCAAUUUACAAGUUCUAUGUAAUUUUUCUAAGUUUUUGUUUUGUUUACAAGUUCUUCUUACAAUUUACAACUCCAACAUUAAUUUACCAAUUUUUCCAUCAAUUUACUAGUUUUAUGUGUGAUUUACAUAUUUUCUGUUUCAUUUCACACUUAAUGUCAAUUUACAAGUUCUAUGUCAUUUUUCUAAGUUUUUGUUUUGUUUACAAGUUCUUCUUACAAUUUACAACUCCAAUAUUAAUUUACUCAUUUUUUCAUCAAUUUACUAGUUUUUUGUGAGAUUUACACAUUUUUUGUUUCAUUUCACACUUAAUGUAAAUUUACAAGUUCUAUAUCAUUUUUCUAAGUUUUUGUUUUGUUUACAAGUUCUUCUUACAAUUUACAACUCUAACAUUAAUUUACCAAUUUUUCCAACAAUUUAGUAGUUUUAUGUGUGAUUUACAUAUUUUUUGUUUUAUUUCACACUUAAUGUCAAUUUACAAGUUCUAUGUAAUUUUUCUAAGUUUUUAUUUUGUUUACAAGUUCUUCUUACAAUUUACAACUCUAACAUUAAUUUACCAAUUUUUCCAACAAUUUACUAGUUUUAUGUGUGACUUACAUAUUUUUUGUUUUAUUUCACACUUAAUGUCAAUUUACAAGUUUUAUGUCAUUUUUCUAAGUUUUUGUUUUGUUUACAAGUUCUUCUUACAAUUUACAACUCCAACAUUAAUUUACUCAUUUUUCCAUCAAUUUACUAAUUUUUUGUGUGAUUUACACAUUUUUUGUUUUAUUUCACACUUAAUGUAAAUUUACAAGUUCUAUGUCAUUUUUCUAAGUUUUUGUUUUGUUUACAAGUUCUUCUUACAAUUUACAACUCUACCAUUAAUUUACCAAUUUUUUCAUUAAUUUACUAGUUUUAUGUGUGAUUUACAUAUUUUCUGUUUCAUUUCACACUUAAUGUCAAUUUACAAGUUCUAUGUCAUUUUUCUAAGUUUUUGUUUUGUUUACAAGUUCUUCUUACAAUUUACAACUCCAAUAUUAAUUUACUCAUUUUUUCAUCAAUUUACUAGUUUUUUGUGAGAUUUACACAUUUUUUGUUUCAUUUCACACUUAAUGUAAAUUUACAAGUUCUAUGUCAUUUUUCUAAGUUUUUGUUUUGUUUACAAGUUCUUCUUACAAUUUACAACUUCAACAUUAAUUUACCAAUUUUUCCAUCAAUUUACUAGUUUUUUGUGUGAUUUAUACAUUUUUUGUUUCAUUUCACACUUAAUGUAAAUUUACAAGUUCUAUGUCAUUUUUCUAAGUUUUUGUUUUGUUUACAAGUUCUUCUUACAAUUUACAACUUCAACAUUAAUUUACCAAUUUUUUCAUCAAUUUACUAGUUUUUUGUGUGAUUUACACAUUUUUUGUUUUAUUUCACACUUAAUGUAAAUUUACAAGUUCGUUGUCAUUUUUCUAAGUUUUUGUUUUGUUUACAAGUUCUUCUUUCAAUUUACAACUCCAACAUUAAUUUACCAAUUUUUCUAUUAAUUUACUAGUUUUAUGUGUGAUUUACAUAUUUUUUGUUUCAUUUCACACUUAAUGUCAAUUUACAAGUUCUAUGUCAUUUUUCUAAGUUUUUGUUUUGUUUACAAGUUCUUCUUACAAUUUACAACUCUAACAUUAAAUUACCAAAUUUUCCAUUAAUUUACUAGUUUUAUGUGUGACUUACAUAUUUUUUGUUUUAUUUCACACUUAAUGUCAAUUUACAAGUUAUAUGUCGUUUUUCUAAGUUUUUGUUUUGUUUACAAGUUCUUCUUACAAUUUACAACUCUAACAUUAAUUUACCAAUUUUUCCAUUAAUUUACUAGUUUUAUGUGUGACUUACAUAUUUUUUGUUUUAUUUCACACUUAAUGUCAAUUUACAAGUUCUAUGUCAUUUUUCUAAGUUUUUGUUUUGUUUACAAGUUCUUCUUACAAUUUACAACUCUAACAUUAAUUUACCAAUUUUUCCAUCAAUUUACUAGUUUUAUGUGUGACUUACAUAUUUUUUGUUUCAUUUCACACUUAAUGUCAAUUUACAAGUUCUAUGUCAUUUUUCUAAGUUUUUGUUUUGUUUACAAGUUCUUCUUACAAUUUACAACUCUAACAUUAAUUUACUAGUUUUAUGUGUGAUUUACAUAUUUUUUGUUUCAUUUCACACUUAAUGUCAAUUUACAAGUUAUAUGUCAUUUUUAUAAGUUUUUGUUUUGUUUACAAGUUCUUCUUGCCAAUUACAACUCUAACAUUAAUUUACCAAUUUUUCUAUUAAUUUACUAGUUUUAUGUGUGGUUUACAAAUUUUUUGUUUCAUUUCACAUUUAAUGUCAAUUUACAAGUUCUAUAUCAUUUUUCUAAGUUUUUGUUUUGUUUACAAGUUCUUCUUGCAAUUUACAACUCCAACAUUAAUUUACCCAUUUUUCCAUCAAUUUACUAGUAUUAUGUGUGGUUUACACUUUUUUUGUUUCAUUUCACACUUAAUGUCAAUUUACAAGUUUUAUGUCAUUUUUCUAAGUUUUUGUUUCGUUUAUAAGUUCUUCUUACAAUUUACAACUCUAACAUUAUUUGAAAGCCUAGGCCCGAUCAUAGUUGCUUUCAAAUUUUUUUAAUUUUUAAUUAAUUUAAAAUUAAAAAAUGGACAUUUGACUAAAAAGUUUAAAGUAACAUAAAAGCUUUAGAAAUUGUUUAAAGUAACAUAAAAAUAAAAAUCACUCAAUAUCGCAACCAUAUUAUUAUAUAAAUAAUAAACAUAUAUAAACAAUGUUUUUAAGUUUUAGGGUCAGGUCAAGCAUGUAGGGCCUGAACCCUAAUCUAAAUUUAAUUGGGUGCUAAUAUUUAGGCUUGAGCCUGAUCCUAGACCCUUAAAUUCAAGUCAAAGUUUAGAAAAUUCGGGUCAAGUCAAUCUGACUAAAAAGUCAGGCCAAGUGUUUCUUGCAUGUAUAUAUGUUUGCAUCUUAAUUUUUAUUUUUAUUUAUCAUAUAAACUAUUCUAUAAAUUUUUUUUCUACAAACUAAUGUAACAUAAUUCAUUUAGUUAAGUUAUGCCAUCAAAAGUAUCUAAUUUCAAAAUAUAUGAUCUCUUUUCAAUUUUUUUUUAACCCAAGAAAUUAGAAAAAUACGCAAUCAUAGUUCAAUAUAAAUAAAGUAUGAAUAUAAAUGUCAUAGGAGUAAGGUAAAAGAUUGUAUAAUUUUUAGAUAAAGAUCAAGUAAUUAACAAUUACAUAAUUUUUAGAUAAAGAUCAAGUAAUUAACAAUUACAAGUUGGGUAGUUAUUAGCCAAGAAUUGGUAAUGGUUGGGUAAAGAGAGAUGGGUAACGAGCAGGUAAAAUGGAGAAUAAAUAUCAUCUUUUAAGGAUGUUUAGACAUAUUUUUAAUGAAUUGUUAUACUACUAGAAUUACUCAGUGUGAUGUCAUAUUUAUAGAAUUAAGUCACUUUUAUGGCAUAAACAAUAUAAUUUCCUCAGCGUGCAAGAGCAUGUUAAUCUGAACAAUAGAAAUGAAACCAUCCUCAUUACAAACCAACCGAAAAGAAAAUAUUUUAGUACUAUUAUAUCUUGUUAACCAGUGAGGACCAUUAUUGUUAACCAUUCAAUCAAGCCACCCUCCCUCUUUCACAAUUUUUUUCUUAAAAAGGGGAAAAUAGCAUUUAAAAAUAAUGGCAAAAUACUCAAAUCAUGGAGUUAAGCCACUAUUAUGCUUGUAAUUAUGGAAACAUUACUCAAUAUGAUGUCAUAUCUGUAGAAUUAAGCCACUUUCUUGAGAUAAAUAGUGCAAUUUCCUUAGAAUUUUAAUAAUUUCUAUUAAAAUAUGGAAACAAAAUCAUAAUAUUAAAGAAAAAAGAAAAGAAUAAAUUAUUCACCAAAAUAAUAGCUAUAUCAAAAUUUGUAGAAAAAUUCCUCAAAGAGCGACAAAAAUUUCACUCAUACUGCAUCAUUUAUCAGCUUCAAGCUUCUUUUGUAACAUAAAUGUUGUCCAUUUCCUUUCAUGUAAUCAAACAAAGCCCAGUUCUCUAAGCUCCUUGUGCACAUUUUAAAUACUGCGGCCGUGGCAUGGUUUUCACGAUAAUUUCUCUUUAACUUGUAGUUGUAGGCAAAGUUGAAGUACCUUAAGCUUGCGAGGAGGAAAGCUUUUGAAUAAAUUUACCUAUUUAGCUAAAUUACAAAGGUAAAUUUGGAAGUUAGUCUAAGUUAAAUGGUUUCUUCUCAAAGAAAGGAAAAAAAGAAUGCAAUGGUAAUAACUUAUUAAAGUGUUAUAAAAGAUCUUGCACCUAAAUUAAUUAAUAAUAUGUUCAAAGUUUUACAGCCAUUCGAGUUUUGACACUUUCUUGAAUGAUAAGUCUAAAGUAGAAGAUCCAAAAAGAUGAACUUAAAUCUUUCCCACCAACUGCCGAAGGGUAAUCUCCUUUUAAUCAGUUUCAACUAAUGAAAUAGGAUCUUAACAACCAGUUAUUUGUGAAAAAAUACAAAAUAAAAAAAAAAACAUAUGAGAGAAAAUUUGUACCUCAAAUAGAGGAUUUACACAUUUUCUUAGGCCAAUGGCUUAUAACAUUAUUAUCCUUUGCAUUUAUGAAGAUCUAAUCAUAUGGAAGUUUAUGUAGAAUACAGUUAGAAUUGCCUACAACAAACCAGAAAAACUAUUAUAAUAGGCACCUAAUUAAAUCAAAUUAACUUGCUCACUCUGGAAGUCCAACAAAUAGAUUAUUUACAAUACAAAAUUAAUUAGCAGGAAAUAAUAAAGAUAACAUGUGAAAACAGUAAAUUUUGAUGAAGAAAACCAAAGAAUACAAAAGAGUGAAAGAAAGAAAAUCAAGCAGAUAUAAAACAAUUCAAAAGAAAAUCAAGGUGAAAAAAGGAAUUCCCCAAAAAUCAAUACUAAAAGACAAAAUUAGUACCAAGAAUUGGCUAACUUGGUGGGCAAUCUGGCUCAAAAAACAGGAAAAAUAAAGCACAAUUCAAAGAUAGCCUUUGCCCGUUCUAGUUUGCAAGGAUUAUGUGUUUUGGAAUUUAACGAGCUUUAGGGCCUGUUUGGUACCGUUUUCAAGCCUCUAUUUUCGUUUUUGUUUUAUAAAUACAAUUGAAAAACAUGUUUGGUGGGCUAAACUCAGAAACAAAUUAUAAAACAAAAAAUUCGGAUUCAGCUUUCUAGUUGUAAAGUUGAAAAUGUGUUUAAUGCGUUUUCAAAUGAAUUUACAGUUCACACUCAAGAACAAACUACAGAACAAAUCUCGGCUCGUGUUCUCUUCAUCAACAGCUCCCAAAGUCCCCGAUCUAAACUCUCCGCACUCACUAUCACUCUCUUCUUCCUCUUUCUCUAGAUCUACAACACAUAUCGCUCCCUCUAACUCGAUCUGCCAGUCCGUUGCUGCUGCUGCUCGAUCUCGGCUGUUGCAGCUGCUGUCUUCACUUGGUAUUUGCUCCAGCUACUUCCAGUUCGUUGCUGCUGCUGCUGCUCUUCCAGUUCGUUGCUGCUGCUGCUAGAUCAUGCUGCUGCUGCUCUUCCACUCGCUUGCUGCUGUUGCUAGAUCCUGCUGCUGCUGCUCUUUAGAGUUUGUACAUUCACCAUUAAUCCGAUGCUCUUCAUGAUUACAGAACGUUCAAACUUUCGAAGAAGAUUCAGGUCAACCUUCAAUUCAGAAACCGGAAUAAGGUCAUUUCUCUAUGACAGUUUAUGAGUUUAUCAUUGAAGAAUCUUCACUUUCUGUGUUGCUCUUCUGGAAGUGUCAUUACAUUUCCUUCAUGUAAAUGUUUGAGAUUCAAUGGUCGAAAGGCCAUUAAUUAGCAUUAAUAAUUUUCUGGUUGAGCAGUACGUUGUAUCUUGUGGCAAUCAACAUGUGUGUGCAAUUUGUAUUUUCUUGUGAUUGAAUUUCUGGAGUUCUAUUCUUUCAGAAUUGAUAAAUUCAAAGGGUAUGCUGGUCUAGUGGCCUUGGUGCUAUUGUUAGAAAUACCAGUGGGGACAUUAUGCUUGCAGCAGUAAAGACCUAUAAAUUUUUGGGAUAACGAAUUCUCAGGGGCAGAGGCUCUUAGAUUUGGAUUUUGGGACUUAAGUAAGCUCGAAACUGAUGCUAAGACUUUUGUGAACGGAAAUGAUCCAAGUCAGAAGGAAAAUCUUCAGAAGGAAUUGUUAGGAGUAAUCUUUAUCUUGCUUUCAAAUUAAUCCCGAGGAGCUAUAAUGACAAUGUCAAACUUUUUUUUAAUUAAUGUUAAUUCUUAAACUUUAUUAUCAUGUAAUUUUUUUUAUAUUAAAUUUGGUUAAAUUAUUUUGUUGUAUUUGUGUGUAUUAGCUAAAUAAUUAUUUUAUAACUAUAAAUAUAAUGUAAAUGAUUAGUAAAAAACUGUUUUUGAAAAAAACAUUACCAAACGCAUAUUCUCUGUUUUUAUCAUUUUCAACUGUGUCUACCAAACACAUAUUACUGUUUUCAAUUUUAAAAUAUAGGAUACAGAAAAUGAUACCAGACGCAUAUUUAAAUUCGAAAUACUAUAACUGCAAAACACCAUUUUCAUUUUCAUUUUUAUUCUAAAAAAAUACAGAUUCAAAAACAAUACCAAACAGACCCUUAGCCUCUUCGAGUUGGCCACUGGGAAACAACCCCUUUCGCAACACAUGAUGAAACAAAACGGCGGAACGGCGAUGACGUGGAGUUGGUAGUGGAGAAAGACUCAGUUGCUCUUUUCCUCUCAAUAUGAAUCGGUUGAAGUUUUACUUCGGUCCUAUCAUAAUCCCUAAUUAACGUGAAUGAGUGAUUUUAAAAUAAAUCAGUUAUAAUAAUUUUCUAAAAAAUAUAAUAAUUCUUUUUAAGUUUAAUCGGUUAACUUUUACUUAUAAAAAAAUGUUAACCAGGUUGUAACCUGUUGAAAAAAUAAAAUUUAUAUGAUUAUAAUUAUUAUGUACCAUUGAUCUAAUCUAACGGUACAUAAUAACUACGGCAUUGAUACCGUAAUUUUAAUCACGGCAUCAUAGAAUUUUCCUAUUAAUAAUAAUAGACACACUGUUUAAACUCACUAUCUAAACUUGUUCACAAUUCAAUUAACAGGAUCUCCCUCCAACAAAAUGUCAGCCUUGCAAAAUCUAAUAACCGCAAAAUCUAAUUAUCUUGGUCAUGAAUAGCAUCAGCAAGAGACUUAUACAUAAAAGGCGGUUAAUAAAACUAAAAACAAUAUAUAAAUAUUUGAACUUUUUUUCACCUUGCGUGGCUAUAAUCAAUAGCAUUGGCAAAUGCAGGGAAUAAAGAACGCAAAAGAUUCAGAAUUUUGUGAUAAGAAAAUGAACUUAAUAAUGAUUUUAUGCAUAGAAAAACUAAAAGUCUGAAACAAAGACCAAGAAAAAUAUCAAGAGGGCAGCUUUAGAUGACCAAUUCAAACGACACCGACGAUUGAAACUUCUUGAAAAUGAUUACUUGUUGAAGAUCUCACAACCUGGAAGACCCGAGUAUUGAAAGUGGGUAUUACUCACUACCACUGAAUCUUUCAGCAAAGCUUUCAAUUAACGUGCCCUUCGGGUCCAAAAUUAGAAUUUUUUUUCACUUCAAUUAUUAGCAAAUUUAGUUUAAAAAACUGAUAAAAAUGACGUUAAAUUCGAUCAGAUUUACAUAUUUAAUUACAAACACAGUAACCCCGAUCAGAUGCAUACACUAAUUUUAUUUAUUUUUUGUCAGCUUUAACCUCAUUGUCAUUUUGAAUAUCCUACAAGAGUCGAAUGACUAGACUUCCAAUUUGCUAUCAUCCCCCUUGAAUGGGUUCAAGAAAUUCAGCAGGUUGCGAAACAAUAAGAUUCAUUCAAUCCGCGUAGAUAUCUAACUGACUGAAAUUAAAUAAUGAUGAUGAUAAGAAAUUUGAAAUCAACAAAUCUCGGCACAUCUAUUCUGCAAUUUGGCCGUACUUCAAAUAAUCUUGCGAUAAAAAUUUCAUAAAAAAUCUCAGAAAGAGGACAGAACAACCAAGGCAUCAGCGAAAGCAAUCGAGGCAGGGCACGCUCAAGCCACAAAUUAGAGGAAUUUUAAAUAUCAACACCAGCUCAGAAUAAUAAGAAGUAAAAUGAAUCUACAAAAGACUAAGAUUUUGGAUGAGUGAAGGGAAGAUGAGAAGAUGAAAUGCAGAAAGUCAAGAAAUGAAUAAACCAAUAUUAAUAAUCUUGGACCCACAGCUCUAAUUUGGAUUAAGCAUCCAUCUACCUAUGUGGAUAAUACUUUUGCUAAUUUUUCAGCCAUGCAGCAGGAUCAUGUUCUUCCUGUUUUAUUUAAUAGAAGGAAUUUUCCCUUGGAAGAAAAUGAUGAGUUGUUUCAACGUAAUGCAACCGCCUAGACUGCAUGGAAUUUCACCAGACAAUCACAAUUUAUUCUCAGGUAUAUCUAACGCCCCCACAUUUGCCAAAUUUGAAGACUGAUCAAAACUUUUUCCAAACUUUGAGACUGAUCAAAACUUUUUCCAAAAAUUCGGGAUUCAGGUCGAUCAGGCCGUUUUGAGACUGAUCAAAACUUUUUCCAAAAAUUCGGGAUUCAGGUCGAUCAGGCCGGUUAUGUUUUGAAAAACUUGUAAAUUUUCAGUGAUCAAACUUCAAAACUUUGCAAAUAGGUCAAAAUAUGAAAAAUACUUGAUAUAUUAUUGAAUACUCAUUUUGUUUUGCAUUAAUAUAAGGCUGUGGGUGCUAUCUAGUAAUGUUGGUAAAAUUUCUUGAGUUGAAAACAAUAAAACGAAAACUGCUCUAAUAGAUCCGCCCCUGUUUGAAACUCACUCAUAUGGAUGGGAAAGAAAUUUAGUUACCAUUGGAUUUAAAAAUAAUAAUUAAUAUUAGAAAAAAAAAUUGUAAGGCUUCGACAAGAUUUGCUAAUCAUGUAUAGGUUAAAAUUUAUGUGGGUUUGGCCACCAAUUUAGCAUUAGGAACUUAUUGUUUAGGAAGCUAUGGUGGGUUUCGUAGUGGGACUUAUCCUCUUUAAUGCAUAUGGUGAUUUUAAACCAACAUUUAUAUAAUCCCAUUAUAAAACUCAUCAAACCUUCUAAAAUAACAUGUUGAGAUAGUGUACUAUAUCCAUAUAAAUAUUUCUCCAACUUCUUAGCUUGAAGCGAUAUUCAUUUCCAUUGAUAGUUUAAUGGGCAAAGCCUUUUGAAUUCUCCAGGUUAUCAAGUUAAUUUUUGCUGGAAAAUGCAAUCCGGAUAUGAAUAGAUUUUUUUGUGCAAUCAAAUUUUCUAUGUUGACGCAUCCUCUAGAACUUUCAGUAAAUUUUAUGGAGAAGCUUUAAUUUCUUAGUUGUUGAUUUCAAAUAUAUUAAGCUCGUAUUUGGUAUUAAAGUAUUGUGGCUUAAAAGUUAUAGUUCGUAUGAAAAGAAAUUUGUAAUUACAAAAUAAAAAUUGAUAGAGUGUGAUAAAUAUAAUUUCAAAAUAAAAAAUAAACUUAACUUCAAAAUUACAAUAAUAAGAAUUACCCUUCAAAAUUAUAAUUUCACAAUUGCCAUUGCCACAAUUGCAAUGGCAAUUGUGGCCUAGUAAAAUCCCUCAAUGAGUCACAGCACUAGCAAUUUCGUAAUAUACAGUAGUGGUAAUUUUGUAAAAUUGAAGUAGUGAUAGUUUUGCAAAUAAAAGUAAAAACUUUUUCCCUAAAUUCGGCUGAGCUAAAAGCCAGCUUAGCCCACACUCUCCUUCCAGAAUUUUUUAAGUCUCCCCAUUGUACAAGUUAAACAAUAAAGUCAGAAUGAUGAUGGUGUUACAAACAAUCAAAUAUGAUUUUAAUAAUUCUUUUUAUACAGUCACCUGUAUGUUGACGUGUUUAAUUGAUGUUUAUUUAAGCAGAAAUCGAAAUUUGAUCCUGAUUAAUUAGAUGAGAACACACAUUCAUGAGUAAUUACUUAAAAUUAAAUUAAUCAAAAUAGUAAAUACAGGAGAAAAUCGAUCAUAUGCGUGCAGACACCACAAUCGAAUUAUAUAUAUCACCGCCGCACAUAAAUCUUAUUCCAAUGAUAUAUGAUUAAUUAAUUAAUUUUUUUAAUAACAAUUAAAUUGUAAUGUCAAUUGUCCACAUAAGAUUUUUUUUUGUUGAUGAAAGUUAGUAAUGUUUUUCCAUCUUUUUAAAUAAUAGUUGUUAAUACAAAUCAAAAAGAUAUUAGGACUUGAGAUCAGGGUUUGCUUGAGUUAGAAUUUUUUUUAUUACAAAAGCUAUUAGCUAGCGAUGCAAAAUAAAAAAGCAACACAAGAUAAAGAAUAAAAUGAGAGAGCAUAUAUUAUAAAAAGAUUUUGCUCAUUCCAAGUGUGCACCAAAUAAAGAAAUGAACUCUUCUUUUAUAGUUACAUAAUUAUUAUAUAAAAUUAAUAAAAAUAUUAUAGAUUAUAAUUACUUGCGAAAUAAUGGGAGUUGUAAAAAAGUCAAAAGUUAAUAGUGGAAGAUAAUAAAGACAACAAUUGGAAGGAGUUUACGUGUGUGUGUGUGUGUGUGUAUUGACAUAAAAAUGGCAUGACGUGUGGUUUAUCACCGAAAGGCUGUUUUAAGUUAACCAACUAAAAACUAAAACCCCCCUCUUGUUCGUUUCCAGGGACUUCACCUUGAUGGUCGAAAAGCAACUGGAAAUCCUCCGCGGGUACGAGCUGCGGCUCUUGUGCUGCACCCUCGCUCCCCCACAGUCCGAUCUUCGCAUUCAAUCGCAACCGUUGAACGAAGAAAGCCAAUGCUCUCUCCUAGUCUCCUUCCACUCCACGAGCACAUCAACAGCCUCAUCGACUCCAUCGAGUCCGGCCACUAUCUCCAGGCUCUGUCCUCCGACGCGGCUAAACUCGUCCUCGACACGCUCGACUUCGUCGACAUCAACGACUCAGCCGAGUGUGCCGACCGCGUCUACUCCGAGCUGCUCCAGCUUGUCGAAGCGUUUGUAGUGAACGAUUCCGAAAAUGACGUGGAUAAGGCUUGUCGAGUUAUUCUGCUCAUGUGUCUUUCAAUUGCUGCUCUUUUUUGGUUCACUCAGUGUAACGUGACUGGUUGAGUUGCUUAUUUAUAAAUUUUUAAAUAAUUGCAAUUAAUAUAAUAAAUAUUAGUACAAAAUUAAAAAAAAAAGGUUUAGUGGUGAACGUUUGAACUCGAAUUAAUAGGCCUUUGGUUGAUAAUUCGCCAAAGUGUCGGUUUCCACUAGAAGUUUCAACUUUAGAAGGCAACGAAUUGAUAGAGUGGGAGAAUUGGGCGCGUUAUCAGCUCAUGUCUGUUGGCUCUGACUUGCUGGGAAAGUUCUCCUAUCUUCACGUACUCAGUCUAUCGAAAAAUGAAUAGAUUCUAUUGCUUAGACUGUGUUAAUGUUAAUAUUAUCUUUUUUAACUUAUUUUACAUUUUGUGAUCUUUUUGUAGUAUAUAGUUUUUGCCAAAAUGUUGCUCAUGAAGACAAAAGAUUUGCUGUUUGAUGCAACUGUGUUGCCUGUGAAUGGGAUUAGAACCAUUUCAUGGUGGCUCACAAGACUCCUACUUAUGCAUCAAAGGAUUUUAGACGAGCGGUCGUCUUCUUUGUAUGAUCUAUUGAAAGUUUUUAUGGCUGAGACUUUACAACAUUUUGGCACUUUGGAAAAUGUAACUACUUAUUGGGGCAACCAGUUGCAUGAUAUCGAUCCUUCAGAGAUUGUUUCAACAGUUCAUUUGGAAGCAGGACUGUUAGAACAUAUUUACAGGAGAGUUGAUUCUUGCAGGUGAGUUAUCCUGGGAAAGUUUUAUAUUCGAUGGUCUUAUUUCUGGCUACAAUAGAAAAGUUUUCUCUUGGAAACAUGUUAUUUCCAACAUGGAACUUGCCUGUAGAACUCUCUGUCAUUGAAAUUGAUUUUGUGCAUUGUGUGUAAGGGAGGUGCAAGAACGAAGUUUUAUGUUUGGACUUCAUCAAAAUCUCCCAUUUUUUAAUGUUUAUUGUUUCAAUCAUCGAACAUUAGUUUGAGUUGUUAGCAUUGGAAUUUGCAUUAACUGAUUACUAACUUCCAUCACUACCAUUACUAUAGGACUUCUUCUAUAGUUUCUGCUGAUUUCUAAAAUGCUUUACGGUAUCAGGAAACAUUUUGAAUCAGCUGAAGUGGCAGCUGGUCUCCAGCUUUCGGUUACUGGGGUUCUUGGUUUCCGUACCAUCCACCAGGUAAAGAUCGAAUGUGCAUCAUUUAUAAAGUUGUCGGGAUCUUCCUUCUUAGCUUUGAGAUUGCUCCUGCAUAUAGGUAGAGCCAAAGGCACAAAUGGUACUUGUUGCAAACACAAGCUCAUCCAACACUUCUGAUGCCUGGCCUUCAAUAAGCCAAGUCAUUCAUACACAUGAUUCUACUAUUGGUGAUGCCUCCGAUGUUUUUGUGACCCCAAAAUUAUUGGGGAAUAGUCAUGAAUCUGAAACUGGAGUCCAAUGCAAUCAUGCUGGUGGCUCAGCAGCCCAUUUAAAGGCAAUCCAACAGGCAGUGAUCUUGUCGAAGUGCCUUCUAAUAGAAAAGAGCUCACGGCAAGAUGAAAUGCAAAGUAAGUUGUUUUAUGGUUGGGCGGUGUGUAGUCGUCUUGUUAAAUGCCAUAAGACGUUAAGCAUAUUGCUAUUUAAUUUUUAAAUCAUUCUCAGUAAUAAUUCCUUUAGUAGAUUGAUGAUAAGAGAUUGCAUUACAGAUGAUAACUGAGCACAAUUUUUGUAGUUGUAUCCCUGUACAUCCAACUUAAUAUCCUCAUUGUAUUCACAUGCCUUUUACGGGUGUUAUUUCUGGAUGCCGAAUGCUUUGUUCCACUUCUGGAUACCAAAUGCUUUGUUCCACAAAGCUGAGCUGGUUGCAAAGCUAGCUGAUGAGGUCAACAAGUCCCUUCAGUAAUUUGAGGAUGAACACUGUGUUCCUGAAAGUCUUACUCUAAUGAUACUUAAAGAAGCAAUGAGAAUGGAUGUUGCAGCAGCUUUGCCUGAACUCAACCACAGUUCCAAACAUGGAACAUGUGAAAACCAAAAAUGCUUUGUUUUUUUUCUCUUUAUGACUUCUAUAGUUGCGGAAUGUAUUAGAUAUUCACCUAAUCAGUAGGCCUUGAAGGGAUCCCAUGUUAGCCCCUUGAUGUUGGUCUGUAACUAAGUAAAUACUUGACCUUGAAAAAGCUUUUGGAUCUGUUGAUUUGGUCAUUUGCCGAUUUAUAGCUUGUUUUCUGAUUCAGGAUGGGAUAUGGCUCCAUACAUAGAGGCAAUUGAUUCACAGCAGUCGUCAUGCUUCAUUGUAAGUAUAUAUACAAUACAGUGUCAGUUUUUCUUGAUGUUAAAUUUCAUAUCUUGAAGUGGUAUUUCUGAUUCUCACAUGAUUUUUCCAUCUUUCAGCUAAAGGUUUUCUGUGAUCUCUUAUGUAUUAGAUGGGAGUCCACCCGUAGUCGCACAAAAGGGCGUGCUUUAGAGAUGAUGGACAAACUGGUAUGAUCUGUGAGCCUUUUCUUCUUAAAUAUUUUGUUACCUAAACAUUUUCAUUCAAAUCGACAAGAGUUGCUUAUCCAUCUAUAGAAGAUUCCAAACUUUCUGCAGCUAGUACUUUAUUGGACCCAAAAGCUUUUUUGCUUUUUCUAAGUUGCUAAUCAAGACUAGAUUUCUCUCCCUUAUAUCGCUAGAUAUCCCAUUAAUCGUUAGAUUUAAUUGUCUAGAGAGAUUAUGUACUUGCAUCUCUGCUUUUCACUUCGCAAGUGAUUUCAUGUGCUAUCUUGUAUUCUGGUUCAAGAUUUUUGAUGGUUGCUUACCGUCAUAUUUUGCUUUGUUUCAGGUUGAGGGCAUUUCUAAUUCUUCUCCCGGUGUGACUCAAAGGAUUCCCUUUUGUUAUGUGAUUUACGUUCCAACUAUUCCUGCCCUGCGAAAGUAAAACUAUUUCUUCUGCAUCUUUGAAUGAUUGUGAUUUAAUUUUCUUGUCAUUUUGCCAACUAUCAUUAUGCUGUCAUUGUUUCAUAUCUUAGUUGACAUAUGCUGACUUGGUUAGAGUUUAAUUGCUCUGUUUAUUCUCUUCAUAAUCUGUCUAUUUCGAUUUUUCUUGAUUUUAGGGAAUUUGCUGAACUUUUAGUAAGCUGUGGCUUGAUUGGAGAGGCUAUUAAAAUUUUUGAGGAUCUGGAGUUGUGGGAUAAUCUAAUAUACUGCAACUGGUAUGGUGUCAUAGAUAACGAUUAUCCUAAUCUCUCUCUCUCUCUCUCUCUCGUGUUGCUAAUGGGAGUUGGUUUUGUGUAUGAUGAAAAAAACAGCCUAUUGGGGAAGAAAGCAGCAGCUGUUGAACUAAUAAAAGCAAGGCUGUCUGAAAAGCCUAAUGACCCUAGAUUAUGGUUUGUUGAUGAGCCUUUUCUACGAUCCAUUUUAUAGUUACUUCUCAUUUCAGUUAAAUCCAUUGUUGAUGCCACUUAUUGCAAUCUAGGGAUAAUUGUUCAUUGGAUGUGAGGAUAUUGUCAAAAGAAAAUGAAACAUUUUAAUUUUAUCUUUUACUUGCUGUAGCCGAUUUAAAAGCUCACUGUGCGUUCUUACUGAUUGCUUUUGGUCUUGCAUUUGAGUCAAUGGAUUUUAUACUCAUAUUCUGACAUUUAUUGUUAGUCUUCUGAUGGUUCAGCAUAUUAUCUAAAAGAUAAGUUUUUGCCGAAGAAAAUUUGCAUUCUUAACUAGAAAAUGAGGGGCCCGGGGGGGGGGGGGGGAGCAACAGGAGACUGUUUUCCACUUAUCCUCUUCCCUGCCUGCAUUUUAGAUGAUUCUGAUGCACCAGGUGCCGUGAAAUGGUUGAGAAAUACAUACCAUCAAGUGAAUUCUGAAAAUCAUAUCCUUUUUGAAAAUAUUUGGUGCUAGACAUUUGAAUAUAUAUGGCCACAAUUUAAACAAUAAAGAUUUUCUGCAUUGAUUUCUUAUAAUGGAUAUAUGCAUGUAAGUAAAAUAUGAUAUCUUUUGAUUAUUGGCCCAUUUGUUCAGAAAGAAGGAAAAAAAAAAUACAUGGUUGAAAGAUUACUGUUACUUGACCUUAUUUAGGUCUCUUCACUGCCAUUUGUUUCUUAUAACUUAUGGUGAUAAUGUAGCCAGAAUGAUGAGUUGAAUUGUGGGUUGCUGACUUGUGAUACAUUUUGUAGGUGUUCAUUAGGUGAUGUUACAAAUAAUGAUGCCUGAUAUGAAAAAGCUUUGGAAGUUUCGAAUGAUAAGUCAGCUCGAGCUAAGGUGAUAUUGUAGUUCACAUUAUGCUUGUACUGUGAUCAUUUUUUAGUUAACAUAUCUUUAUGUGAAUCAGAGGUCUCUAGCUCGUAGUGCUUACAAUAGAGGGGAGUAGGAGACGUCUAAAAUCCUUUGGUAUGUUGCUUUAAUGCUUUACUUCUCCUUCUGCCACACAGUAAUUUGCUGCAUUGACAACUGAUAUGGCUGAAUGACAAUUUACCCUUGGUUUUGUCUCAGGGAGGCUGCCAUGGCCUUGAAUUCUUUGUAUCCGGAUGGCUGGUUUGCUCUUGGUGCUGCUGCAUUGAAGGUAUCAUAUUUUUGUAUUAGUAUGUGUUUAGUGUGGAGAGAUUUCUUAUCCUUUUGCCCCAAGUUUCUGAAACUCUCGGCUGAAAUAUAAAUACAGGCUCGGGAUGUUGAAAAGGCUCUGGAUGGGUUUACUCGGGCUGUUCAACUUGAUCCAGACAGUGGGGAAGCUUGGAACAAUAUUGCUUGCUUGUAUGCUCUUUUCUUUGUCAUCAUGUCAUUCCAUCCUCUUGCUCUGUAUUCUUUAAUAUGGUGUCAAUCACUUUCAUCUUCUAUCUGCAAGAGUAUGCUUCCCAUAUUUGGUUUACUUUGUUUUGACUUUCUUGUUGCAGUUGUUCUAUAUAAAUUUUAUAUGGUUCCAUAUUCCCUUGAUGAGUGAAUUUAGUUGCUGCAAAUGCUAAGAGCUAGAUAGUACUGUUAUAAUUAGGAAUAGGGCAAAUAUUAGCCAGCUCUUUUGAGGAUUAUCCAUAGCAUAUGCCUCCGUCGUUUUCAAAGCAACUGAAGUUCUCCUUUUCGUCUUAUUUAAAAGAAAAAAGCACAAAUUGCUUCCCUCACAUCUCUCUACAGUCUCUUUUCUCUCUGUUUAAUUUUUUCUUGUGCUUAUUAUUUGUCUUUUAAUGUGUCUUUUCUUCUUAUUUUAUACUGUACUAGAAUUUGUGCAGUCUCAAUUUCAUCUUGUCUGUGACUUACUGUAUUUUUCGCAAUUGUGGAACUUUAUUUAGCAGCAUAAUUAUUAGUUAGUGAGACAUUAAUUGGUUAAGUUAGCAUUAUGUUUUACUUUGAUGUUGAUGGAAUUUGUUAAUGCUAAUCAAAUUUUGUUAAUCUCUCUCUCUCUCUCUCUCUCUCUUAAAAAGAAGGCAAACAAAAAGCUUUGUGAUUUCAUUUUUGUUUUCUAAAUUUGUUAUCUAAAGGAAUGACAAGUUGACAACUCAGCCUCUCUCUCUCUCUCUCUGUGUGUGUGUGUCAGGGAUCUGAUUUGUGGAAAGAUAGAGAUCGGUUUAAAAGGUUUUCAUAUGCAUCCUUGGAACUUUGUAAGGUUUACAUGGAAAUUUCUUCCUCUUCUGGUAGCCGUCGAGAACUCUUUGCUGCUGAGAUGCACCUGAAGAACUUACUUAAACAAGUAAAACAUCUUAUAAUUCGAUAUUUAAGACACUUACAGUUGGUUUAAAGAUUGCCUUUUCUGUUUCUGUUUUUGACUGGUUCAGGGUAAAACUUUUUCUCACUGUGUUAGAGUGCAUUUCUGUUAUUAUAUAGAUUCUUAGUAGAAAAUGCGCUUUUUGGAAUCUCAGGCUGAAGGAUUUUCUGACAUGGAAGAGUUCAGGGAUCUUCAAGCUUGCCUUGAUGAAGUGAUGACGAAACUCCAAUCUGGUCCCGUGGCUACCUAAGUAUCAGGAAUGUGCUAUUUUUGAAAUUUAGUAACAAGGUUAAAUCUGCAACUAAAAGCUAUUUUAGUUGUACUGUAGUGGAUAUCUUGUAUUGUUGUAUCACCUUUUCUGUAACAAAACACUCUAGUUUUAUUAUUUUUAUUAUUUUUGUAUUUUCGGUGCUGUAACUAAUCUCAAUGUAAAUAUAUGGCUUCAAGUUAUUUAAAUGUAACAUCAAGUGUUGUUUUCA